rnacentral:snRNA from 1 species
AUGCCUUAAACUAAUGAGUAAGGAAAACAACUAUCUAAGUNCUCACUGCUAAUGUGAGAAGAAUUCUUGAAUGAGUA